UUAAGCGACUAAGCGUACACGGUGGAUGCCCUGGCAGUCAGAGGCGAUGAAGGGCGUGCUAAUCUGCGAUAAGCGCCGGUAAGGUGAUAUGAACCGUUAUAACCGGCGAUACCCGAAUGGGGAAACCCAGUGUGAUUCGUCACACUAUCAUUAACUGAAUCCAUAGGUUAAUGAGGCGAACCGGGGGAACUGAAACAUCUAAGUACCCCGAGGAAAAGAAAUCAACCGAGAUUCCCCCAGUAGCGGCGAGCGAACGGGGAGGAGCCCAGAGCCUGAAUCAGCAUGUGUGUUAGUGGAAGCGUCUGGAAAGGCGCGCGAUACAGGGUGACAGCCCCGUACACAAAAGCGCAUGUGCUGUGAGCUCGAUGAGUAGGGCGGGACACGUGGUAUCCUGUCUGAAUAUGGGGGGACCAUCCUCCAAGGCUAAAUACUCCUGACUGACCGAUAGUGAACCAGUACCGUGAGGGAAAGGCGAAAAGAACCCCGGCGAGGGGAGUGAAAAAGAACCUGAAACCGUGUACGUACAAGCAGUGGGAGCACAGGUUUACCUGUGUGACUGCGUACCUUUUGUAUAAUGGGUCAGCGACUUAUAUUCUGUAGCAAGGUUAACCGAAUAGGGGAGCCGGAGGGAAACCGAGUCUUAACCGGGCGUUAAGUUGCAGGGUAUAGACCCGAAACCCGGUGAUCUAGCCAUGGGCAGGUUGAAGGUUGGGUAACACUAACUGGAGGACCGAACCGACUAAUGUUGAAAAAUUAGCGGAUGACCUGUGGCUGGGGGUGAAAGGCCAAUCAAACCGGGAGAUAGCUGGUUCUCCCCGAAAGCUAUUUAGGUAGCGCCUCGUGAAUUCAUCUCCGGGGGUAGAGCACUGUUUCGGCUAGGGGGCCAUCCCGGCUUACCAACCCGAUGCAAACUGCGAAUACCGGAGAAUGUUAUCACGGGAGACACACGGCGGGUGCUAACGUCCGUCGUGAAGAGGGAAACAACCCAGACCGCCAGCUAAGGUCCCAAAGUCAUGGUUAAGUGGGAAACGAUGUGGGAAGGCCCAGACAGCCAGGAUGUUGGCUUAGAAGCAGCCAUCAUUUAAAGAAAGCGUAAUAGCUCACUGGUCGAGUCGGCCUGCGCGGAAGAUGUAACGGGGCUAAACCAUGCACCGAAGCUGCGGCAGCGACACUAUGUGUUGUUGGGUAGGGGAGCGUUCUGUAAGCCUGUGAAGGUGUGUCGUGAGGCAUGCUGGAGGUAUCAGAAGUGCGAAUGCUGACAUAAGUAACGAUAAAGCGGGUGAAAAGCCCGCUCGCCGGAAGACCAAGGGUUCCUGUCCAACGUUAAUCGGGGCAGGGUGAGUCGACCCCUAAGGCGAGGCCGAAAGGCGUAGUCGAUGGGAAACGGGUUAAUAUUCCCGUACUUGGUGUUACUGCGAAGGGGGGACGGAGAAGGCUAUGUUGGCCGGGCGACGGUUGUCCCGGUUUAAGCGUGUAGGUGUGUGUUCCAGGUAAAUCCGGUUCACUUUAACACUGAGGCGUGACGACGAGGCACUACGGUGCUGAAGCAACAAAUGCCCUGCUUCCAGGAAAAGCCUCUAAGCAUCAGGUAACAUCAAAUCGUACCCCAAACCGACACAGGUGGUCAGGUAGAGAAUACCAAGGCGCUUGAGAGAACUCGGGUGAAGGAACUAGGCAAAAUGGUGCCGUAACUUCGGGAGAAGGCACGCUGACACGUAGGUGAAGUGAUUUACUCAUGGAGCUGAAGUCAGUCGAAGAUACCAGCUGGCUGCAACUGUUUAUUAAAAACACAGCACUGUGCAAACACGAAAGUGGACGUAUACGGUGUGACGCCUGCCCGGUGCCGGAAGGUUAAUUGAUGGGGUCAGCGCAAGCGAAGCUCCUGAUCGAAGCCCCGGUAAACGGCGGCCGUAACUAUAACGGUCCUAAGGUAGCGAAAUUCCUUGUCGGGUAAGUUCCGACCUGCACGAAUGGCGUAAUGAUGGCCAGGCUGUCUCCACCCGAGACUCAGUGAAAUUGAACUCGCUGUGAAGAUGCAGUGUACCCGCGGCAAGACGGAAAGACCCCGUGAACCUUUACUAUAGCUUGACACUGAACAUUGAGCCUUGAUGUGUAGGAUAGGUGGGAGGCUUUGAAGUGUGGACGCCAGUCUGCGUGGAGCCAACCUUGAAAUACCACCCUUUAAUGUUUGAUGUUCUAACGUGGACCCGUAAUCCGGGUUGCGGACAGUGUCUGGUGGGUAGUUUGACUGGGGCGGUCUCCUCCUAAAGAGUAACGGAGGAGCACGAAGGUUGGCUAAUCCUGGUCGGACAUCAGGAGGUUAGUGCAAUGGCAUAAGCCAGCUUGACUGCGAGCGUGACGGCGCGAGCAGGUGCGAAAGCAGGUCAUAGUGAUCCGGUGGUUCUGAAUGGAAGGGCCAUCGCUCAACGGAUAAAAGGUACUCCGGGGAUAACAGGCUGAUACCGCCCAAGAGUUCAUAUCGACGGCGGUGUUUGGCACCUCGAUGUCGGCUCAUCACAUCCUGGGGCUGAAGUAGGUCCCAAGGGUAUGGCUGUUCGCCAUUUAAAGUGGUACGCGAGCUGGGUUUAGAACGUCGUGAGACAGUUCGGUCCCUAUCUGCCGUGGGCGCUGGAGAACUGAGGGGGGCUGCUCCUAGUACGAGAGGACCGGAGUGGACGCAUCACUGGUGUUCGGGUUGUCAUGCCAAUGGCACUGCCCGGUAGCUAAAUGCGGAAGAGAUAAGUGCUGAAAGCAUCUAAGCACGAAACUUGCCCCGAGAUGAGUUCUCCCUGAGACUUAGAGUCUCCUGAAGGAACGUUGAAGACGACGACGUUGAUAGGCCGGGUGUGUAAGCGCAGCGAUGCGUUGAGCUAACCGGUACUAAUGAACCGUGAGGCUUAACCUU
rnacentral:rRNA from 1 species